rnacentral:rRNA from 1 species
UACGAAUCGUCCAAACGUUGUUCGGAUUUACUGGGUUUAAAGGGCGCGUAGGCGGUGCGCUAAGUCGGUGGUGAAAUACUUCGGCUCAACCGGAGAAUUGCCGCUGAAACUGGCGUGCUCGAGGGAGGUAGAGGUGCGUGGAACUUCCGGUGGAGCGGUGAAAUGCGUCGAUAUCGGAAGGAACACCUGUGGCGAAAGCGGCUUCCUGGACCAGUACCGACGUUCAGGCACGAAAGCGUGGGGAGCAAACAGG